rnacentral:lncRNA from 1 species
UGGGAUGGGAGGCAGAGAGCCUCUCAGGCAAGGGGAGAAUGUGCAGAAACAGAAGGAAGGAAAAGCACCUUUGGGGAGUCUCCUGCACAGAGCCCAGGGUGGCUGAUGGAGAAGACUCUCAUCAGGGUCAUCUGCAUGUGGAUGAGGUUCCCAGAGAGGACUGCUGGAGGACAUUGCAUGUUUAUGAAUUUCACAGGUUCUUGUUCUGCGGCCCAGUCUGAAGUGCAGAGGUGCGAUUGUGGCUCCUGCAAUCUCUGCCUCCCAGGCUCAAGCGAUCCUCCCACCUCGGCCUCCCAAGUACCUGGGACUACAGGCAUACGCUGUCACAGCUACUUUUUGUAUUUUUUUGCAGAGACGGGGUUUCGCCAUAUUGCCCAGGCUGGUCUCAAACUCCUAGGCUCAAGCAAUCCUCCCGCCUUGGCCUCCCAAAGUGUUAGGAUUACACGCGUGAGCCACUGUACAGGGCUUUUUUCUUUUUCUUUUUAGAGACAGGGUCUCACUCUGUUACCAGGCUAGAAUGCAUUGGUUUGUUUGUCACUGAUUUGUCACUGAUUUGUUUGUUUCUGAGAUGGAGUCUCACUCUGUCAGCCAGGCUGGAGUGCAGUGGCAUAAUCUCAGCUAACUGCAACCUCUGCCUCCUGGGUUCAAGCGAUUCUCCUGCCUCAGUCUCCCGAAUAGCUGGAUUUACAAGCAUGAGCCACCAUGCCUGGCUAAUUUUUGUAUUUUUAGUAGAGACAGGGGUUUCACCAUGUUGGCCAGGCUGGUCUUGAAUUGCUGAUCUCAAGUGAUCUGCCCACCUCAGCCUCCCAAAAUGCUAGGAUUACAGGCAUGAGCCACCACACCUGGCCCACAGCUCACUGUUGAUACUGGAACUAGAAAGAAAUUAUUUAGGCCGAUACUGAGGGUUCUUACCAAGUAGCUCCUAAAUCAUUUCUUUUCUAACAAAGAGCAGCCUGAAAAAUUGAGCUGCAGACAUAAAUAAGCAAGCUGGAAGCUUGCAUAGGUAAAUGCCAACAGCUGUGCCAAUAGGAAAAGGCUAACUGGGGGUGGGGCAUGUUCAACAUGGAGGCUCCAUUUUCCCUUUUCUUUGUCAACCAUGUGUACAGUAAAGAAACAGGCAACAUGGCUCCGGCCAGAUAGAGGACCAUCUGCAUAAUAAAAGAUUCGGGUGGGGUAGCCAGCUUCUUUGCGUGCUAUGUAAAUGGCACACCUGGUCCAUCCAAUCUCUCGGGCACUAUGUAACUCAGACACUGCCUCCACAAGCUUGUCUACAAAACCCUUUGCGUUUCACCAUGAGACCAAAAGUCCCACUCAGGAGCCCCUCUCUCUGUAAGAGAGAGAGGUAUUCCCUUUUCUCUUCCUUUUGCCUAUUAAACCAAUGCUCUUAAAUUAACUUCUUAUGUGUCUGCGUUCUUGAUUCCCUUGGCAUGAGACAAGAAACCUCUGAUAUUUAUCCCAGACGGCAACAGCGCUUCUCUGUGACUUCAAACUCCUGGGCUCAAAUGAUCCACCCGCCUCAGCCUCCUGAGUACCUAGGACUUCAUGCACCACCAUGCCCUGCUAAUUUUUAACCUUUUUUUUUUUUAGAGACUGGGUCUUGGUAUGUUGCCUAGGCUAGUCUCAAACACCUGGGCUCAAUUGUUUCUCCUGCCUUGGCCUCCCAAAAUGCUGGAAUUACAAAUGUGAACCACUGUGCCCAGCCUUUUAUUAUCCAUUCCUUAAAAUAACCCUUAAACGUAUAGGAACUGCUGAGAUCAAUUUGAUAAGAAAAGUGAGAAGAUAGGUGAAUUGCCCAAGGUCACCCAGUCACCGUGUUGUCUUCAGUUGCUUUAUCUAUAAGAAGGAUCUGGACUAGAUAAUUUCUGAAGUGCGUGCUAGUGUGCACCGCUAAAAUUCUAUGGCCAUAAUUGCAAGUUGUGAGACUGGUUCUUACAACUAAAAGUAAUUGUUACCUUUAGAAUCAAUUAUGCAUUUCUGAGGCGCUUAACUAUUUGAGGCUUACAGAGGGACAUUUCAAGAUGUUUCGUUGGAAAUUUGAAAAAUGAGUACCAAAAUCUAAAAAAAGAAAAAAGAGAGUGAAGAUGCAAUCAUUUCAAUUAACCAGUCAGGGGAGUCUAAUAACCUCUACCUGUGAGCAAGUAAUACCACGAAUCCAUUGUUGGUUGAUGCAAUAAAUGGUAUUGCAGGGGAUUAGAACAUCCUACCCCACCCCAAAUAUGUCACUUUCAAAUAAGAUUAUUUUGAGCUGAAGACAACUGAGAAAUAGCUGAUGCAGAAGAAGCUCCUGGGGCUCACACCUGUAAUCCCAGCACUUUGGGAGGCUGAGGUGGGAGGAUUGCUUGAGUCCAGGAGUUUGAGACCAGCCUGGGCAUCACAGUGAGACUCUGUCUCUACAAAAAAUAGUAAAAAUUAGCCUGGCGUGGUGGUACAUGCCUAUAGUCCCAGCUACUGAGGAGGCUGAGGUGGGAGGAUUGCUUGAGCCCAGAAGGUUGAGAGUGCAGUGAGCCGUGAUUGUGCCCAUGCACUCCAGCCUGGGCAACAGAGCAAGACCCUGUCUCCAAUUAAAAAAAAAAAAAACCUCUUGGGCUUCUUUCCUCUGUCUGGCUAAGAACAGGAUAUAAAUUGUAAGGGUGUCUCCCUUCCCCUCCAUGAAAAGGAGAACAACUCAAUCAUUCCUGACUCUUAGUCCAGACUAAGAGGACAGGAAUCAGACAUAGCACUGAAAGAGGAAUCCACAUAAAAAACUUUACUAAGAUAACCUUUGGCUGGGUACUGUGGCUCAGGCCUGUAAUCCCAGCACUUUGGGAGGCCAAGGUGGGUGGAUCACUUGAGGGUAGGAGUUCAAGACCAACCUGGCCAACAUGGUGAAAUCCCAUCUCUCUUUUUUUUUUUUUUUUUGAGAUAAGGUCUCACUCUGUCACCCAGGCUGGAGUGCAGUGACAUGAUCUCAACUCACUGCAAACUCUGCCUCCCAGGCUCAAGCAAUACUCCCGCCUCAGCCUCUCUGAGUAGCUGGGACUACAGGAAUGCGUCACCAUGCCCAGCUAAUUGUUUUGUAUUUUUGGUAGAGAUGGGGUUUCUCCAUGUUGCUCAGGUCGGUCUCGAACUUCUGAGCUCAAGGGAUCUGCUCACCUCUGCCUCCCAAAGUGCUAGGAUUACAGGCAUGAGCCAUUGUGCCUAGCCUGAAAC